GACGAACGCUGGCGGCGUGCUUAACACAUGCAAGUCGAACGGUGAAGGGGUCUGCUUUUGUGGGCCCUGGAUGAGUGGCGAACGGGUGAGUAACACGUGAGUAACCUGCCCCCUUCUUCUGGAUAACCGCAUGAAAGUGUGGCUAAUACGGGAUAUUCUGGGUCUGUCGCAUGAUGGGUCUGGGAAAGAUUGCGCCUUUGGGUGUUUUUGGUGGGGGAUGGGCUCGCGGCCUAUCAGCUUGUUGGUGGGGUGAUGGCCUACCAAGGCGGUGACGGGUAGCCGGCCGGAGAGGGUGGACGGUCACACUGGGACUGAGACACGGCCCAGACUCCUACGGGAGGCAGCAGUGGGGAAUAUUGCACAAUGGGCGCAAGCCUGAUGCAGCGACGCCGCGUGAGGGAGGGAGGCCUUCGGGGUGUAAACCUCUUUCGCCAGUGAAGCAGGCCUGCUCCUUGUGGGUGGGUUGACGGUAGCUGGAGAAGAAGCGCCGGCUAACUACGUG
rnacentral:rRNA from 1 species